GGGGUUAUAGCUCAGUGGAAGAGUGCUUGCCUCAUAUGUAUGAGGCACUGAAUACAAUCCUCAGUGCCACA
rnacentral:tRNA from 1 species